rnacentral:rRNA from 1 species
GUCGUAACAAGGUCUCCGUAGGUGAACCUGCGGAGGGAUCAUUACAAGUGACCCCGGUCUAACCACCGGGAUGUUCAUAACCCUUUGUUGUCCGACUCUGUUGCCUCCGGGGCGACCCUGCCUUCGGGCGGGGGCUCCGGGUGGACACUUCAAACUCUUGCGUAACUUUGCAGUCUGAGUAAACUUAAUUAAUAAAUUAAAACUUUUAACAACGGAUCUCUUGGUUCUGGCAUCGAUGAAGAACGCAGCGAAAUGCGAUAAGUAAUGUGAAUUGCAGAAUUCAGUGAAUCAUCGAAUCUUUGAACGCACAUUGCGCCCCCUGGUAUUCCGGGGGGCAUGCCUGUUCGAGCGUCAUUUCACCACUCAAGCCUCGCUUGGUAUUGGGCAACGCGGUCCGCCGCGUGCCUCAAAUCGACCGGCUGGGUCUUCUGUCCCCUAAGCGUUGUGGAAACUAUUCGCUAAAGGGUGCUCGGGAGGCUACGCCGUAAAACAAACCCAUUUCUAAGGUUGACCUCGGAUCAGGUAGGGAUACCCGCUGAACUUAAGCAUAUCAAUAAGCGGAGGAAAAGAAACCAACAGGGAUUGCCUCAGUAACG